rnacentral:rRNA from 1 species
UACGUAGGGUGCAAGCGUUAAUCGGAAUUACUGGGCGUAAAGCGUGCGCAGGCGGUUUUGUAAGUCUGUCGUGAAAGCCCCCGGGCUCAACCUGGGAAUUGCAUUCGAGACUGCAUGGCUAGGGUGCGGAAGAGGGAAGCGGAAUUUCCGGUGUAGCGGUGAAAUGCGUAGAUAUCGGAAGGAACACCAGUGGCGAAAGCGGCUUCCUGGUCCAGCACCGACGUUCAGGCACGAAAGCGUGGGGAGCAAACAGG